UACGUAGGGGGCGAGCGUUGUCCGAAGUUACUGGGCGUAAAGCGCGCGUAGGCGGGUCCUUAAGUGAGGGGUGAAAGGUUCGGGCUUAACCCGGACACUGCCUUUCAUACUGGGGACCUUGAGUGCGGGAGAGGCGAGUGGAAUGGUCGGUGUAGCGGUGAAAUGCGUAGAUAUCGAUCGGAACACCCAUGGCGAAGGCAGCUCGCUGGCCUGCAACUGACGCUGAGGCGCGAAAGCUAGGGGAGCGAAUGGG
rnacentral:rRNA from 1 species